GACGAACGCUGGCGGCGUGCUUAACACAUGCAAGUCGAACGGAAAGGCCCUGCUUUUGUGGGGUGCUCGAGUGGCGAACGGGUGAGUAACACGUGGGUAACCUGCCCCUGACUUUGGGAUAACUUCAUGAAACUGGGGCUAAUACCGGAUAGGAUCUCCUGCUGCAUGGUGGGGGUGGGAAAGUUUCGGCGGUUGGGGAUGGACUCGCGGCUUAUCAGCUUGUUGGUGUGGUAGUGGCUUACCAAGGCUUGGACCGGUAGCCGGCCUGAGAGGGUGACCGGCCACAUUGGGCCUGGGAUACGGCCCAGACUCCUACGGGACGCAGAGCUGGGGAAUAUUGCACAAGGGGCGGAAGCAUGAUGCAGCAAAGCCGCGUGCGGGAUGUGGUCCUUCGGGUUGUAUACUGCUUUCGCCUGUGACGAGGCGUGAGUGACGGUAAUGGGUAAAGAAGCACCGGCUAACUACGUG
rnacentral:rRNA from 1 species